rnacentral:tRNA from 1 species
CAGCUCGUCGGGCUCAUAACCCGAAGGUCGUAGGUUCAAGUCCUGCCUCCGCAACCA